GAUCUGAAUUCAGUCAGCUAGCCUCCACAUUGAAGUGUCAUAGAGGCAAUGCCGUACAUUGAUUAGAAUUAGAAAUGUGUCAGAGGAACCACAUUUUGAAGAUGGGUGGUGUGUGUGGGCCGGUCUGGAACAAAAUGUCCCAGUUCAGUCAUGUCUUUGGGCAGAGAUGUACAGAUGAACAGACCGGAUCAAGCAAAAGUUGACUCCUGGUGGAGGAAGAGGAGGAAGUCAGUGAUGAUGGAAUGAAGUCAUCAUAUCUGAUACCCGCGAUGAUUCUCCAAACAAACUGAUAGAGUGACAGGGGAAUGCAGCAGUGUUGAUCUCACCCGACCCCUCACAGAUAACACAAAGCUCCUCUGACACAGAGCAGGCUCGUGGAGAAAGAAAGGAGUGCAAGAAAAGCAAGAUGGGAGUGUUUCCUCUCACUCUGCACGGAGACUUUAUCUGAGCUGCAGAUAAGACGCCUGACUAACAACAUCUUACCGUGCACUUAAAAUGCUCCUCGUGCCCAGUUUAUCGGGAACAGACCAAACAUUAACAGCUGAUGGUGAGGAACAAGUAGUAGAAAAACAAAUAAAUGCUGUCAGCGAACAGAAAGUCCGUGUCUCAGCUACUGAUGUGUUCUUUGAGGAGAUGAGUAAUGAUGACGUAAAAUUAAACAUCUUCACUCACAGCUCCAAAUACACAUGCAGGAGGCUGAGCUUCUACCUCUGACCAAUAUGAAGUUCUAUUAUUGAAUUUUUACUACCUGCAACUGUUCAGAUUGUUUUUUCAGGUCAGGUUGGACCAUAUAGGUGCAAGUUUUGAAAGAUUCAUGUACAUUUCAGUGCAUAAAAAAAAUUGUGAGGAUAUAUCAUCACUCCCCGAGACGCCCCCGCAGCUAGGCUGAGCAGUAUGAAAGCGGUAGUAGACAGUAUAUUUUUGGCAUCAUUGGGCAUCAAAAAUGCCAUAAUAACCUUUCAGCAUAUUGUAAUCCAAGUGUUCUGA